GCUGGGCAUGAUGGCGCACGCCUGUAAUCCCAGCACCUCCGGAGGCUGAGACAGGAGGAUGGCGAGUUCAAAACCAGCCUCAGCAAUGGUGAGGUGCUAAGCAACUCAGUGAGACCCUGUCUCUA
rnacentral:sRNA from 1 species